rnacentral:rRNA from 1 species
UACGGGGGGGGCAAGCGUUGUUCGGAAUUACUGGGCGUAAAGGGCUCGUAGGCGGCCAACUAAGUCGGAUGUGAAAUCCCCAGGCUCAACUUGGGAACUGCAUCCGAUACUGGAUGGCUUGAAUUCGGGAGAGGAUGCAGAAUUCCAGGUGUAGCGGUGAAAUGCGUAGAUAUCUGGAGGAAUACCGGUGGCGAAGGCGGCAUCCUGGACCGACAUUGACGCUGAGGAGCGAAAGCUAGGGGAGCAAACGGG